AUGCACACACACAUACACGGGAUCAUAUAUGGGCGCGCACACACGCUCUGCUCCUUGCUUUGCAAACCCCUCUCGUGCUCACACACACACACGCGCGCGCGUACGCACAUGCACGGAUUCACGCAUAUACACGCACGCACACAUGCGCGCCCGCCCACACACGCGUACCCACGCCCUGCCUUGGAAUCGCUCUCACGCCGAGGGUCAAGGACAGAAGUGCAGCGGGUGGCACCGACGGCCGGCGCACACAUGCGCCCGGGAGCACCGCGCCCAGCAGCCGCCCGGAGAGGGCCGGCUCACUCCACUUGCGGUCAGCGGGGCGCCGCAGGGCGAUCCCCGGCUGGGGAGGAAGGAGGCCGGCGCGGAGCCCCAGGAGCCAGAUUCCCGUGUGGUUACACCCGCCGGCUUCCUCUCCGCCAGCACGGCCGGGAUCGGUGCCGACGCGCCGCGCUGGGGUCCCAGAGGAGCGCCACAAUGCCGGCGGUGCGGCCCCUGCAGCGUCCCUCCCCCACCGCCCCCCCCCAACGCCCGCCGCACGCACGCGCGCCGGGUGCCCAGGCUUCCUGGCCCGGACCCAACCUCCCUGGACUGAUAACUCCCUGCUCAGUGAUUAUUUCUGGGGCCCGGCGCGACGGGAGGAGAGGGAAGGUGCGCUCAGCAGUGGAUGUUGGGCAAGGCGCAGGUGGAAAGCAAUUACCAAUCUCUUUGGAAAGAGCUUCAGCCCUGGGUCUGUGGCAGAAACUUGGACUCAGUGGCCUGAAACCAGGCCGAGGAGAACUGUCAGGGGUGCGGGCCCGUCCCUCGGGCUGGUCGAUCAGAUGCUCCUUCCUCUCCAGGCAUUUUCAUCGGUUGUUUGUUUCCAACCCUAGCAACUCUCUCCUGCGGCUUCUCCUCACCAACUCGGUCCCUACCGCGAGGCUGCGCAGACGACAGAGCGCUCAUUUCUGUCUCAGGCUCGGCCUUUCACAGGUGCUCCCAAUCUGGGGCAACUCCUUUCCAGGUCACCUUUGUUCCCUUGGGCCAGUCAGCGCUUCCGAGUUUUCCCAAGGCCAUUCCCACCUUCCUGUCCUCUCAAGGAGGAGAAAGAAGAGAGAGGCAAGAGAGGGGGAGGGUACUCCCCUUCCCCAUGGGACAGCUGGCUCCGUUCAGAAACCCUAG
rnacentral:lncRNA from 1 species